CUGUGGAAGUUUGUCCGUCCUGUCUUCUGUGGCAACAAGCCACCGAGUGCUGUAACUUGCAUUGGGUGGUUGCCGGUCAUCUGUGUUUUGUCCUGCUUCAGCCGUGAACAUUUGAUCAUCUAUAUAUCAUUUACGUGUUGGAGUAAUGAAAGUCGUGGCCAGCGCAGAGAGUGUCAGGGGAUCCUUCCAUUAGCAAACAAAAUCACCCAGGCUCACUUUCAAGCUCUGCUUAGAAGUGUGUGGCAGUAGUAAGAGAGAAGACUUAAAUCAUUACAAGAUCUUCCUGUGAGCAACUUUCUGGGCCCCAUCAGUAUGCUGUGAAGUCUGACACACUUUCCACAUCCACACAAAAUUGAGAACUAAAACAAGCAAGG